GUCAGUGUUCCCACUGCAAUCACCUUCAAAGCCUGUGAAACCCAGUGUCACAUUCCAGCAGUGUUGAAGGUAAAGGUUACCUGGGGAAAGAACUGCUGCUAUCACAAAGAUAACGUCUAACACCAGAAUUCCCAAAGUGUGCUACACGAUCUCAGUUGAGGAUCUUCCUUCAAGACUCUGCCCAUGUUCCUUAAGAACAAAUUACGGAACUCGCCAGAAUGCUCUUGAAGCACCAGACACUGCUCCCCUCUUUAAUGCUGAGGACUGCUUAUCUGAUUCCCAA
rnacentral:lncRNA from 1 species